AAACAGUUCAAAGAUCCUAAUUACCCAGGGGCUCUUUGAACUCCAUUUUGGCUACUUAUGACUCAUGCAACCAUGAAAGAAAGAGAGAAAGAGGCAAUUUUGCUGAACUUUCUCUCCUUUGAAAGAUGUGGUAGGGACUUUUACUGCAAACAGAACGUUAAGCUAUUGAACAUGAAGUCCCACUGUUAAGACUUACCAAAAUAUACAUUGCAUAAGAAGACAGCAUGAUUUCUUAAGUAUGAGUGAACAUGUUAAUAGAAGCAUCUUAGUACAACAAAAAUCCUUUGCUGUGUGAUCGCUUUUGUAACGUAUCAGAGGUGAAGGAUCUGCAUGCAAAGGUGAGCUUCUUAUAUAUGCGUCCCAAGGACCAUAUCCUACAAAUUCUGUGUGGUAAGUAUAUAUGGAAAUGUGUGGUGCAUUAUGGGAUAUAUAACUGUAAACAAAGACCUUUCCUCUUCUGCAGCGUUCUGCUUCAGAGUGGUUUUUUUACCACUAAGAGAGGGAUAGGAAACCUCUGGUCCUCCAGAGAUGUGCCAAUGUAUUUGUGACAUAUUCAGAUGUGGUUUGGCCAGCAGGGGGGUCUCCAUUUGACUGGCAAGCAUAUGAUGAGAAUUGACAAACAUGUGAUGGCCAUUGGUCAGGGAUAAUAGGAGCGAUCAUCCAGCAGCAUUUGGUGGCAGAAACGGAAUGGUGGAGCAGCAGCACUCAGCUGACCUCCCAGCAGCUGAGUCAGUGCUGCUUUUACUAGGAAGAAGGGGGGAAGCGGAGGGGAGGUCAGUGACACCAGCAAAGCCAAUCCAGCACUCCUGCCUGAGCAUUUGCACAAUGCUGCCCUCCUUGCUGUGUCAGGUGAGUGCCACCACCCCAUCACACGACCGUCUGGAGGGUCACAGUUUUCCCACCCCUAAAAUGAGACUUGUGCUGCUUCUAUUUUGGCUAAAGAGAUCUGAGAAUCCCAUUUGUUGUUCUCUCCUGUGGUUGAUGUGUAGCACAAAAUGGCCUUAUCCCUGGCUGCAGCACUGAGGGUGUCUUCAGGUAUGUCUCAUAACAGCAAGGAAUUGCUGAGAUGAUUAUUUAUGACAGCUGGCUCAGUUGUAACUUGCCCGUUGCCUUUCAUUACAGGGGAGGCAGGAGUGUUUGCUCUUUCCACUCCAAUCCUAUCUGCCAAGAACAUGCCAGUUCCUUUCGUCCUCCUCCCACCGCUCCCUUUCUAUGUGUGAUCAUCCUGCUCAGCCUUGGUUAAACAAUGUAUGGAAGGCAAAAGAAGAAACAGCUUUGAUGUCCAGUAUGCAUGCUAUCCGAUAACUGAAUUGGAGCCUUCAAUUCUUAAAUGUGUGGCAUUUUGAUGGGGCCUAUGGAAUAGCAAACCAGAGGGAGUAGAGGACAAAAGAUACGUGAGACACAAAUGCAGUCUACAAAGGUAAAGGUAAAGGACCCCUGGAUGGUUAAGUCCAGUCAAAGGCAACUAUGGGGUUGCAGCACUCAUUUCGCUUUCAGGCUGAGGGAGGCGGUGUUUGUCCACAGACAGCUUUCCGGGUCAUGUGGCCAGCAGGACUAAACCACUUCUGACAUAAUUCUGACAGUGCACAGAAAGACCAUUUGCCUUCCCGCCACAGCAGUACCUAUUUAUCUACUUGCACUGACAUGCUUUCGAACUGCUAUGUUGGCAGGAGCUGGGACAGAGCAACGGGAGCUCACCCCGUCGCAGGGAUUUGAACCGCCGACCUUCUGAUCAGCAAGCCCAAGAGGCUCAGUGGUUUACACCACAGAAUUUAGCUGGAUACAACUCAUGUUUUUUAACUGUUUCCCCACCAGCUGUUUUCCCACUCAAAAACUCCUCCCGCCACCUGCGUAUUCCAUGGUGGAUUUUUGGGUAUGCUGUAAUACUUCCAUUAGAGAAACAAACUUCAUUAUUGCUUGCAAGUAAGGAUGGGGGAAAAAUUCAAUCCAGUUCACAUUUAAAGGUCAAUCUGCCUAAUUUGCACUUUCUGACAUGGUACGGGGACUGAAACACAGCCGUCCUUUAAAAUUUGCAUUCCUCCUUAUUUUGAAAUGCAGUUCUCCAGCCAAGUAAUGUGUACAAAAAUGCAAAUAUUUCUGGAAAUAAAAUGCAUUAUAUGGAAAAUGUGUGUAUAUGGCAAAGCCCUAAGGAUAUAGAACAGCACCAUCUAUUGGCUGGAGGAGUUGCUUUUAUGAUCAUGAAAAUGAAAAAUGAAUAAGAAGCCAAUGGCACAUAUGGAGGAAGAAGAAGAACUAACCCUAAAAUAGUCAAAAUAAUUGUGUGUAUUUAAUGCAAAAUGUCAUGAACGUUGACCAACAAUUCAAUGGCUGCAGUAAAAGUGCCCCAAAAGUAUACAGCUGCUUUCAGCAGGGCUCACGUGACCUAAGGAACCAAUAGGGUCCCAUCUGCCCUCAUAUAAUUGCUCACACUGGCCUGUUUCCUGAGUGCAAGCUGCUCAAGGACCAUCUGAAGUCCUGCUUAGCCUCUACUGUACUGAGUUGCCAGCCUGCACAGUAAGUCAAGGUAGAGGAAACAGAACACAGUUUUGUUAUUUCAUGACGCUAUGCUCUCCUGGGUCAGUGUUUUGAGACACAUGCUAUUGCUGGGUAUGUUAUUUGUAAUCAUCUUGUUUGUUCAGUGAGUCCUCCAGCUCUGGGACUUUUUGCUCUGCGGUUGUAGCUGGACUUUCAUGGCUUCGAAAGGGGACCAGGAGAGACACGCCUCUUCCAUAUUUCACUGAGAUGGAAACCACAUUGCUUUUCUGCCGUGACUCAGUUCAGAGGCUGGCUUCCCCCUCCCCCACGCUUUUGUUUUAAUUUAUAUUUAAAGAAAAAAAAGAAUUUUGAAACUGACAAGCCUGUUUGAUUUCCCAGGCAUUUUCCUGCCUACUGAGCUUCCUCACAUGUCCACAGGCAGAAUGGGGGACUGGUGAAGUCCAUGAAUUUUUUUGUCCAAGAUUGAUUUGGCCUGUAGCACCAUCUGAACAUUUCUGCUGGCCUGAACCCACUCCCCGCCCCCCCCAUCCUUUCUGUCAAAAGACCUCCUAGUGACUCAUGCUCAGAAAAAGCACAAGGCCUGGAGAUUAUCCCAGAAGGAUUUAACCCAUUUUUCAAAGCUAAACUCUGCUUAGGAAGAUUAUAGCACAGUUUAUCCAAGAGUAAAUAGUGCUUAUUUCAAACUCUGACUACACAACAGGGCCUGGCUUCCUAGGGUGGCCAUGCAUCCUGUUUUACAGAAGGAGGUCCUCUAUUUGAAGGCUGGUCAGAAGACAAUCCUCUGUUUGAAGUACUGCCUGGUCCAAUUCUGGUUUAAAGGUCAAGAACCAUACAUAGCAGGAGCUGGGGCCUGAAGAUUCCUAUUAGCACAGUAAGGGAUGCGGGUGGCGCUGUGGGUUAAACUGCAGAGCCUAGGACUUGCCGAUCAGAAGGUUGGCGGUUCAAAUACCCGCAACGGAGUGAGCUCCUAUUGCUCGGUCCCUGCUCCUGCCAACCUAGCAGUUCGAAAGAACGUCAAAGUGCAAGUAGAUAAAGAGGUACCGCUCUGGCGGGAAGGUAAACGGUGUUUCCGUGAGCUGCUCUGGUUCGCCAGAAGCGGCUUAGUCAUGCUGGCCACAUGACCCGGAAGCUGUACACCGGCUCCCUCGGCCUAUAGAGCAAGAUGAGCGCCGCAACCCCAGAGUCGGCCACGACUGGACCUAGUAGUCAGGGGUACCAUUUUAGUCCAUAUGGUGCCCAACUCCCAUCAUCCCUUAGCUUUGGGCCAGGCAGGCUGGAAAGGUCAAUCAGGAGUAACUAUUGUAUUGUCCUUCAGAUGUUCUGCACUCCUGUUAUUCCCAGCCAGCAGGGCUGAUGGUCAAGGAUGAUGAGAGUUGCAACCCCAAAGCUUCUGGUGUUGGCUACCUAUGACCUAAACUAGAGUUGCCAUACAUCCGGAAUUUCCCAGACAUAUCCGGAAUACUGCAGUCGGCAGCAGCUCAAUAACUUUGGCCAAAAAACACAACUCAACAACUUUUCUGUCCGGAUUUUCACUGUUUGAAAUAUGGCAACCCUGUCUAAAGCACGGUUUGGAUGAUUAUUUGGAAUCCCAUGAAUUACCCGAGGUCUUGCUUCUUGAACUCUUGUUACUGCAUUAGUGGAGUAGUGGCGGAUUUGCUCUGCUUCAGAUUGUUCUGUGACUCUUCCCCAGUGCUGACACAUUGCACAACAAAUGCAGGACAAAAAUACACCAGGGUGCUAUGACUGAAAACUAAACAGUGUGGCCAUUCCCAAACGUUUGCAAGUGCAAACAGCGUUGAGAGUAGGAUUGGGUGCAUGUACCCCAAUAUCAUCAAAAGCACAAAUCAUCAUGAAUGUUCAAUAAGCAUGAUAUUUGAAGAAACCCUUAUUCACAUUUUAUAGUUGAAAUGGGAAAGAGUGGCAAGUGGCAUGCAUUGUAUUAUUUAAUAGAUUUUAUUUUCAUAUAUUCAUAUCCUGCAUUUUGAGCCCAGACCCCUCUCCUGCGAGCCAGUUAGCAUGACCAGUGUUGAAAACAAUUCAUAAAAUGAGCAAUCUGUCUUCUUAAGAAAGAAUAACAAUGAAUUGGAAACAUGUUUAUGUCCUGUGCAAUUCUACACAUGUUCACUCAGACAUAAGCUUCACUGUGUUCAAUGGGGCUUGCUCCCAGGUAAGUGCUCAUAAGAUUGCAGCUGUAAGCAUGCGCGGGCACACACACACACACACAUACAAAUCCCAUGACAGCAGUCAGGCUUGAACUAUUAUUUUUUUUCAGGACCACCCAGCAACAGAACAAAAUCUUGCUGACUCUGAUACUGACUCUCCUUUCAGAAAACUUGUCCUAGACAUUUUCUUUAUGGAAGAUGGAUCACACUGAGUUGACAACCAUCCAAAAUUGACAUGAACUGUAUGGCUUUGUCUAGUGUUCAACCCAGUUAUUGGCCCAUAUAGAGAUAUACAGGAAAUAGUGGGAUGAGCAGUAAAUGUAUGUUGAAUGGUGAACUGUAUGAACAGUGAAGAAAUUGCAGGACAAAUUUGACCACAUUCCCAACAUGACAGUCUGGCCAGUGGUGAUUCAACUUGCUGCAAAGUUAUGCUUCAUGGUCAUAAUAUUAAAGAAUUGUUAGUUUGGGUGCAGCAGCUGUAUGUCUGAGUAUCCGGGUAUAUUAAGGGUAUAUUAAGUCAGACCAUUGGUCCUUCUUGUUCAGUAUUGCCUACAAUAACUGACAGUGACUUUUCAAUGGUUUCAGACUGGGAAUAUUCCCAACCCUAGAGAUGCUGGGGAUUUAUCUGAAAGGGUGACAUAUACACCAUGGAUUACACAGGAUCAUCAUGAAGGAGGAGGAGGAGCACAAGACAAUGGCAACUACUACAACAAAGUGAGUUGCAUAAGGUUGGCACAGUGCCAGAACACAGCAGGCCUGCGUAGCUUACACAAUCUCUGGCAGCCUGGAAUGGCAUCACAAACCCAUUUCCAUGCCUACCCAGGACUUCAGAAAGAGAGGCUACACCCACAGCAACACGGCAGAGGGCUUGCAUCCUGCUCGGUGGGUGGGAAGCUCAACAGGCCUGAGCCACAUUUGUCAAACUUUUGGGAAUCCCCUGUCCUGCUUUGAUGUGCCUCAAAAAGCCAGACCAUCAAGGAUUAUUCUGCUUGCCAAGAAACAGAGCUUAGCUGGCUUUGAAAGGGCAAGCCAUUGCGAUAGAUGAGAAAGAAGGCAUGCGGGUAGAGCUUCUCUCUGUCCUAUCUCAUCUAUCUUGGAGGUGGUUCUUCUCGAUUAGGGCCUCCCCUGCCUUUCUCAAAAGUCAUCUGCCGUUGUGGAGUCCAGCUCUGGUCUGUUACAUGGACCUGCCUCGUGGCAGAUCAGACUAUCUGUCCAGGGAGAGCCAUUUUGUCUACUCUGACUGGCAGCAUAUCUUCCAGGUCUCACACCCUGCUACCUGGUCAUUUUAAGUGUGGAUGCUAGAGAGUGAAUCUGUAAGUAAGGGCUGCAGCACAAUAGCACAGCAAGUUCCUUAUACGCCAAAGGUCCCAGGUUCAACCCCUGCAGGAAAGGCUGGCAGGGAAGAGUCCCAUCUGAAAUCUUGGAUAGUUUCUGCCAUCUCAGUGUAGACAAGGGUUGUUGUUGUUUAGUCAUUUAGUUGUGUCCGACUCUUUGUGACCCCAAUGUACCAGAGCAUUCCAGGCACUCCUGUCUUCCACUGCCUCCCGCAGUUUGGUCAGACUCAUGUUGGUAGCUUCGAGAACACUGUCCAACCAUCUCGUCCUCUGUCGUCCCCUGCUCCUUGUGCCCUCCAUCUUUCCCAACAUCAGGGUCUUUCCCAAGGAGUCUUCUCUUCUCAUGAGGUGGCCAAAGUAUUAGAGCCUCAGCUUCAGGAUCUGUCCUUCCAGUGAGCACUCAGGGCUGAUUUCCUUCAGAAUGGAGAGGUUUGAUCUUCUCGCAGUCCAUGGGACUCUCAAGAGCCUCCUCCAGCACCGUAAUUCAAAAGCAUCAAUUCUUCGGCGAUCAGCCUUCUUUAUGGUCCAGCUCUCACUUCCAUACAUCACCACUGGGAAAGUAGACAAGGGUAGGGAAGCUGUUUCAGUCCAAAGGCCAUAUUCCCUCCUAGGCAGCCUUCCAGGGGCCACAUGCCAACGGUCAGCGGGGCCAGAGGCAAUGGUGGGCGGAGUAAUGAAUGUAUAGACUAUAGUGAUCAAGUAACUACAGCCUCCCCCAUCCUCCUUCCAGCAAGAGGCAUUAUCAGACUUCACUGGCACAUUUCAGCCAGGCAAAAAGGGGGGUGCAAAGUAAAAGAAGGGGUGGCUGGAGAAAGUGUGCAUACCCUCCAACAUGUCAAGGCAAAAAAACAGGCCACGCAUCUCCAGGGGCCACACUCCUGCACAAGUCACAAGAUCCGCACAAGAUCAUGGUCUCAGAAGACGUGCUUUUUUCAGGCUUCAUAAUCUCGUGCGAAAAUGCAGGAUGUCCUGAUUUUAUUGGGGCGAUUGAGGGGUAUGAGUGUGUGAUCUGGGUGGAAAGAACCUCAAAGGCCAGAGAGAGAGGCUUGGAGGGAUGCUUGUGGCUCCUAGACUCAAGUCCCCCCCCCCCCGCUAUGGACCAACUUGGUAUCAGGCAAAUGCCUAUAUCAGUGGUUCCCAACCUUUUUUUUUUUUUUUUUUGCCAUAUCCACCUAAGCAUCUCUAAAAUCCUGAUGCCUGCCCCCGUGACAUAUAAUUCUUAUUAUUCAAAAAGUGAGCUCCUAUUCAUGUGGAGGAAGCCUAAAGGGCCAUUAACUUGGUCUAAACAAACUUCCAAAUUGUCCCCCUUAAAAAUCAAAUUGCCCCCCUGUGGGGCAUGUCUGGCAUACAAAAAAAAUCACCUUAUGCUUUGCCCCGUCUGUCCUCAAGUAGAGAUGGAAAGGCCUGGGGAAAAACCAGAAAAAAAAAUUAGGUCCAUGAGAAAAAUGACAAAGAGGAAGAGCCAGAAGAAAUAGAAAAUGAUAGCAGUACUGUGGUACCUCGGGUUAAGUACUUAAUUCGUUCUGGAGGUCCGUUCUUAACCUGAAACUGUUCUUAACCUGAAGCAGCACUUUAGCUAAUGGGGCCUCCUGCUGCCACCGCAGCACCGCCGGGCGACUUUUGUUCUCACCCUGAAGCAAAGUUCUUAACCCGAGGCACUAUUUCUGGGUUAGCGGAGUCUGUAACCUGAAGCGUAUGUGUCAGGGGUUCAGGAGCAGAGGCACAGGAAAGGGAGGAAAUAGAGAGCGAGGGGGAGGAGUCCGAAGGAAAUGUUAGCGAUGACAGCGGUCCGAGGUCUCUGAGUCUUUCCAGCGAAUCGGAAGAUUCACAGAAAGGGGCUCCCUUGGUCAGAGCAAGGGGGUGCCGAGGGGACACCCCAGGAAGAAGGGGCCAGAGGGGACUCAGAGAGCAGCAGUUGGAAAUCAGGACCAGCGUCCACACCAGAGUGCAGUAGGGGAGGAGUCCCAGGCAUCGGGAUCAGGCGGCGCACUGCCAGUGGGAGGACAUGAGUCAGGAUUGGCCACGCCUCCAUCGGGGAGCGAGGAAACGGUCGAGAGGAAGGUUGAAGGCUGGGCGCGCGCGCAAGUUCAAAUGUACAGGAGGGCGGCGCAGUUGGCAGCCCGGAUAGGGAGCCAGGUCCCAAAGCCCGCCGAAAAGAGGGGAGGAGUCAGGGGGUCAGCGUCAGAAGAAUCCAGGAAGGAAGGGACCCCGGGGGGUAGCAGGACCCAGAGGAGAAAGGAGAGACGUAAGAGGUGGAGUAAGGCUAGAAUCUUAAACUGGUGUACAGGGGCGGAGACUCAGAUGGAGCUUCGCCGAUCUAACCCCUAGACGUAGAGCUGGGGCGCUCCGGCUUGAAAAUGGAAACUGUACUUCAAUAAAGACUUUUGUACAUUACUGCCGGCUAGCGUUGGUCCUCUGUGAGCUGGGACCUGGAGCCAGCUCUGACAGUAAGCUCCAUCUGCAAAAGUUUUGCACCAAAAACCUCGUAACGUGAGUGGACGCAGCGAGGAAGAAGAUUGGUGCUUCGCGAGCUCACAAAAGUCAGGCAAGAUGACUACAGAACAGCAACUAGCAGCCCUGCAAAAUGCAGUGACACAACUCAACGCGGAGGUACUCGCAUCCAGGAAAAGGGAAGAGGAAGCGGCUGCCGCCUGCAGGGAUCUCCAAGCCAGGUUGGAAGUGCUUGCUAAGCAGGGGCAACCGGGACCCAAAUCAGAGGGGAUUGGGCUGGGAAAAGAGGAGGCAGCCUGGUAUCUCAUUUCGAUGGGAAUUUGCAGAAGUCACCUAACUUCCGAGCAGUCGUGCUGUUUGCUCUGGAACUGCUGGAUAAAGACUUUAGAGUUGAGCAUGAGAAGGUUUGGUUUAUCUUGUCCCAUUUGCUUGGUGUAGCUAAAGCGUGGCUGCGCAAUCUGUGGAGAGAUAAGGAUCCGGCGCUCCAAAAUGCGGAUGCAUUCAUUAAAGCGAUGGAUUCGUGUUUUUAUCAAAUAUAGACAUUGAUAUCGCCAGAAAAAGACAUACAUGGGCUCAAACAAGGCAGAGCCAGUGUAAGGCAGUACCAUUCCCGCUUUUUGCAUUAGUCCAUUCGCUGGGAUGGGAGAAGGAUUCUGCCCCAGCCAGAGACCUUUUUGGGAAGGCUUGAAUGCAAAUGUGAAAGAUGAGAUUGCAAGGGGAGAGACCAAAGAGCACUCAGGAGGUUGUCCGGCGGGCGCUGCAAAUUGGGGUGCGUCUGGAAGAACGUCCAUGGAAUAGAGAAGAAGGACGUUGGGGACGUACGCCAGUGAGAGCACCUCCCCUCUUUCCCAAGGAUGCAGCGCGUGUGCAAUCCCCACCUCCGCAAGGAGGGGGGGAGCAACCGAUGGAGAUUGGAGGCGCCAGGGCUCAGUCAGCAACCAGAGCCUUAACACCGGGAGCAGUCAAGCGAAGCCUCCUAGAGGGAACAGGAAGUGCUACAUCUGCGACAGUGCUCAGCACAUGGCGAAAGAGUGUCCCCAGAGGCUCCACAAGCACACUGCAGCCUCAGCAACAGUAACAGAAGCAACUCAGCAGAGAGAACCACAGCAGGGAAACGACAGAGUCUGGUUGGAGGAAGAGGCACUGGGGCCCAACCAGACAAGUCAAUGAAGCCGUCCCCAGAGAUUUUGCAGCCCACAGAACCCCUCCCGCCCAAACCAGUGGUGCAGCUCACAGCAUCGCUCCAACUACCCAAUGGACUCACUAUGGAAGUGCCGAUUACCAUUGACUCUGGUAGUAACGCAGACUUCAUAGGACUGGAUUUCCUUCAAGAGCACAACAUAGCACUCCUGCCAGCCACGCUGCCUCUGAAGGUUGUCACGGUGGAUGGCAGGGAAUUGCUGGGGGGGCAGGUGGUGCAGCAAACGCCUCCGAUGGUGAUGCAAAUUGGGAAUCACCGAGAAGUCAUCAGCUUCAAUGUCACCCAACUGUCGGACACGCCUAUAGUAUUAGGCAUGAGUUGGCUGCACAGGCACAGCCCAGCAUUGGCGUGGUACCAGCGACAACUGACCUUCGGCUCCUCAUACUGUGCGGAACAUUGCAUUCUGCCUAGCCCGGAAGGGGAAGAGGAUGAUCCGCAGCUACAAUUAGGCACGCUGCAAGCAGUGCCACUCAAGUACGCAGCGUUUUUGGAGGUUUUCUGCGAGAAGGAAGCGGACAAGCUACCUCCCCACAGGUCUUAUGACUGCAAGAUUGACCUCCUGCCAGGAGCGCGCUGCCAACCGGGAAACUGUAUUCCAUGUCUGAAGACGAGCUGCAGGAACUCAGGAGUUCAUAGACCUCAACUUGAAGCGCGGUUUCAUCCGGGAGUCGAAGGCAGUGGGGGCAGUCCUGUAUUCUUUGUGAAGAAGAAGGACGCGCCCCAAAAAGGCUUGUGGUGGACUAUAGAAUUUUGAACUCGAAAACCAAGCCCACAGCCUUUCCCAUGCCCAAGAUAGAUGACCUGCUCGCAACGGUGAGGAAAGGACGCGUUUUCACAAAGUUGGAUCUGCGAGGGCGUACAACCUGAUUCGCAUACGGGAGGGCGACGAAUGGAAGACUGCCAUGUUCACGCCCCUGGGCACCUAUGAAUACAGAGUUAUGCCCUUUGGAUUACAAAAUGGCUCCCACUGUUUUCAAGCCUUCAUGCAUCACGUAUUGGCGGGUCUCCUCUACAAGAAAUGCGUCUGCUUCCUGGACGACAUCCUGAUAUUUUCAGAAUCAGAGGAGACCCACGAGGGAGACGUCAAGGAAGUUCUGCAGAGACUGCAGGAGCACAGGCUGUACGCCAAGCUGGAGAAGUGCCAGUUCGACAUGAAGGAGGUAGAUUUCCUGGGCUACAAGUUGUCGGACAAGGGGCUCGCCAUGGACAGCGCCAAGGUUCGCUCAGUGUUGGACUGGAAGAGCCCGCGCAAUCGGAAGGAGGUCCAGCGGUUUGUCGGUUUCGCCAACUUUUACCGCAAGUUCAUCAAGGGGUUCGCGAUGCAGACGGCGGCCAUUACCGACACGCUCAGCUCCAAGAAGAAGAAGUUCAUCUGGACGGAGCAAGCGGAGCAGUCCUUUCAGAAACUCAAGCGUCUCUUCUCGUCCGAAGAGCAGCUACUGCAUGUGAAUCCCAGCAGACCGAUGAGGGUUGAAACGGACGCCUCAGACAGAGCCGUGGGAGCAGUACUGUUGCAGCAAGACCCGCAUGGGGACUGGAGACCGUGUGCCUUCUACUCCAGGAAGCUCAGCAAGUCAGAGCAGAACUACACCAUCUGGGACAGGGAGUUGCUGGCCAUUCAUGCAGCAUUCAAGGCGUGGCGGCACUUCCUCAUUGGAGCCAAACACACAGUGCAGGUCCGCACGGACCAUAAAAACCUGGAGUACUGGCGCACGGCAAGGUUCCUGAACCAGAGGCACAUACGAUGGGCGGAGUUCUUUGCGGAUUUCGACUUCAGGAUAGAGUACAUCCCAGGCGACAACAACAUCAUGGCGGAUGCACUGUCCAGAAAGCCGCAAUACCUCGAGGAGGCGGCACCAGCAGCGGCCAAGCACAUUUCGCACCGAAGCGUGGGCGUGCGCUUCAGCAACCGUGGACCUGGAUGCUGUACGUCGAGCACUGCAGGAGGACCCCUUCGCGCAAGCAAAGAUGGCAGAGGUGCAAAGGGGCACGGCGGAGGACGACGAGUUCCAGAUACGCGACGGAUUGCUCAUCCGCAGAGGGCCCUCUACGUACCGGGAGGCGACCUCCGCGAAAGUACUGCAGCAGUUGCACGACGCACCCACCGCCGGGCACUUUGGCAAGAGAAGACGGUAGAAUUAGUAGCCAGAGAUUUUGGUGGCCCAAGAUGCGGGGAAGUCGCGGAUUACGUCUCGAGGUGCGACACCUGCCAAAGGGCCAAGUCAGUGCACAAACCGCCGGCGGGACUGCUCGAACCCCUGCAGACACCGCUCGAACCGUGGGAGAGGGUGGCCCUGGACUUUGUCACGGAUCUACCCAGCUCGAGGGGCAAGACGGCAGUGCUAGUGGUGGUGGACAUGUUCACCAAAAUGGCCCACUUCAUUCCGUGCGCGAAGGUGGCCACGGCGGAACAGACCGCCAAACUGUUCAUAGACCACGUGUUCAGAGUUCACGGUCUGCCACGGUCUAUCCUGUCCGACCGGGGCGACACUUUAUCUCGAACUUCUGGCCGAAACUGAUGGGUUUCCUGAACGUCACGAUCAACCUAGCGUCGGCGAGACACCCGCAGACGAGACGGACAAGCGGAGCGAGUCAAGCGCCAUCAUGCAGCAGUACCUGCGAUGCUACGCAAAUCAGCAGCCGGCAACAUGGGUGGACUACCUGCCGCUCGCUGAGUUCGCCUACAACAACACGAAGCACGUGUCCACGGGGGUGACACCGUUCUUCGCCAACAACGGGAGGCAUCCCAGAACCUUCCCGGGAUUAGCGAGAGCGGGGAGGGGAGCCACAGGCAGCGGAAGCCUUAGCAUCAGAGUUGCAGGAGGUUCACGAACAGCUUCGGAGGCAGUUAGAACUAGCAAAGCACGCAUACAAACUGCAGGCUGACAAGCACAGGAGGGUUGGGGAAGACAUACAGGUGGGAGACUGGGUUUGGUUAGCAGCCCAGGCAGUGCCGGCCAGAUCGUUAGCGAAGAAGAAGCUAGGGCAUAAGCAGCUAGGACCCUACCAAGUCGAGGCACAGGUCAAUCCAGUGGCCUUCCGGUUGACACUGCCGGAGGGAUCCAGAAUGCACCCAGUUUUCCAUAGAUCAGUGCUCACGCCCUACAAAGCACCUCAUAGAUUUCAGGAGCCAGGAACGGCACCAGACCCGUUCAGGGAAACGCCCACAAGGGGGUCGCCAAGGCGGGAACCCGUCAACGAAGUCACAGAGAUUUUAGACUCGAGAUGGGGGAGGAGGGAGUGGAAUACCUCCUCGCCAAGGAAGGUACCCGGCUAGCGCCAACAGUUGGGUGCCAGAUUAUGCUCUGGAGGAAUCUUGGCUCACGGACGAGUUCCAUGCACUUUUCCCACACAGGCCCAUGCCAGCCGAGUAUUUCGACGACUGGCUUUUCACACCCACAUUUUCAGCUAGCACAUUCCAGGGGUUCACCUCGGACGAGGAACCGGCACUAGAAGCACGUUCCCCGGAGGGAUCACCCUCGGGGUCUGCCUCAGACCGUUCCUAUUGGUGGGACAAUCAACCAGAGGAGCAGUGGCGCAGGAAGUGGUUGGGGGGUCCUUGGCAGGCAACGUCCCCGGAGGAGACCGGGGAGAGACGGACAUGGACGUGUUGGGGAGGACCUUGGGUUCGAGCACGGCGGCAAGAGAUGGAAGCAGAGGAAAUUGAGGUCGGCGAGAGCACGGAGGACGAGCCGGACUUAUCCGGCUGGAUGCACGCCACGGGGAACGAACUGUAUCCGGCACUCACCCCCACAACGACGGAGCACCCAGUACCCACACCUGAAGGAGGGGAGGGGGAAGGGGGGCUUCGAGGGGGAUGGAUGUCAGGGGUUCAGGAGCAGAGGCACAGGAAAGGGAGGAAAUAGAGAGCGAGGGGAGGAGUCCGAAGGAAAUGUUAGCGAUGACAGCGGUCCGAGGUCUCUGAGUCUUUCCAGCGAAUCGGAAGAUUCACAGAAAGGGGCUCCCUUGGUCAGAGCAAGGGGGUGCCGAGGGGACACCCCAGGAAGAAGGGCCCAGACGGGACUCAGAGAGCAGCAGUUGGAAAUCAGGACCAGAGUCCACACCAGAGUGCAGUAGGGGAGGAGUCCCAGGCAUCGGGAUCAGGCGGCGCACUGCCAGUGGGAGGACAUGAGUCAGGAUUGGCCACGCCUCCAUCGGGGAGCGAGAAACGGUCGAGAGGAAGGUUGAAGGCUGGGCGCGCGCGCAAGUUCAAAUGUACAGGAGGGCGGCGCAGUUGGCAGCCCGGAUAGGGAGCCAGGUCCCAAAGCCCGCCGAAAAGAGGGGAGGAGUCAGGGGGUCAGCGUCAGAAGAAUCCAGGAAGGAAGGGACCCGGGGGUAGCAGGACCCAGAGGAGAAAGGAGAGGCGUAAGAGGUGGAGUAAGGCUAGAAUCUUAAACUGGUGUACAGGGGCGGAGACUCAGAUGGAGCUUCGCCGAUCUAACCCCUAGACGUAGAGCUGGGGCGCUCCGGCUUGAAAAUGGAAACUGUACUUCAAUAAAGACUUUUGUACAUUACUGCCGGCUAGCGUUGGUCCUCUGUGAGCUGGGACCUGGAGCCAGCUCUGACAGUAUGUAACCCGAAGCAUAUGUAACCCGAGGUACCACUGUAGUUCAGAAAAUGAGAUAGAAUAAAUCACGUGUAUAUGAUGUGUCUUCUGGUUUUGUUUUGGUUUUUUUAAAAAGCACUACUCAAAGGGUUGACCUUCUAUGGAGCUUAAAUACUGAGGUGGACCUUAACUUUAUUUGAUGUUGGUGCUAAGGGGCAAAUCUGAUUAUUUUUUAUCUUGAUGGCUUCUUGCUUUUUUUCUUUUUUUUUCUUUUGAGGGAAAGGGGGUGGUUACCUGUUUUAUUACAAGCACGAUACUUUUAUCUACACUGUGUUUCACCCAAUUCGUAAAACUACUCCACACUGAACUUUUUUUCAAUUUUUCCAAAAUUUCCAUGCUCCCCGGAAAAAAACAGGAGAAAAAAUGUUUUUUUCUCAUGGCUUCAAAAUUUCCGGAAAUUUUACAUCUCUAGGCAUGUGCCCCAUGUUGGGAACGACAGGCCUAUAUCCUAGAAUUACACCACCAUCAGUUCAUGCAUGAUGGAUACGUGAUCAUUAAAGAGUUGGAGGCGUUUGAAUGGACCAUUUCAUUCUUAGUUUUCUUCACAUAAACAGGCCAAGGGUCUAAUGAUUUCAAGGUAAAGCUUUUUUAUAUUUAUUAAGACAAUUCAGGGAACAUUUUCAAGCCCUGCUGACAUCACUGUAAUAAAUCACCAUCUUGUCUUGCGGUAGAAGAAAAGCCAAAAUACUGUCAGGUCUGAUUUUUUCUGGCUACUCAAGUCUCAUGAGCAAACCAUGUGUUUUUAAUCAACAAAUCUUUGUUUUGCAUUGCUGGGACCCCAGAACUCUUUAAAUAGUUAGCUUUUACCAGAGGGAUACUUUAAAUUCAACGCGCUGCUUCCUCACUGGAAAGAUUAGGAAACAGGACACCACAUUACAGAUUUACCAGGCUUGUCUUGGUCUUUGGGAAACUUGUUUUAGUUACAGUGCUCGAUGGCCUGGAGGGCUUCCCGUUUCUUUCCUCUGGCUUAAUUGGACAAGUCCUUCCCUCAUCCAUGUGCACACACACACACACACACAUGUGCGCACACCCCUACCUAUCAACAUUUGUUGCUCAUGUCAUAACACGCAAAUCAACCUCGGCCAAAACAGAGGGGCCCGGUUCUUCCAGCAGGAGGUGUCGAGCAUGAUGAGAGAGGAAAUGGUUAAGUGUGGUCUGCUUUGCAAGUGAAGCAGCAUGAAGCCACCGUGGGUUUUCCAUUCCCAACCAAGUACUCAAAAGCAGGGGUUUGGGACCUUUUUCAGCUCAAGGGCCACAUUCCAUUUGCUGUAACUUCCCAGGGGCCACAUGCCAGUGGCCAGAGGCCAAUGUGAGCGGAAAAACAAAUGCAAUAGUAGGCUAGUUUACAAACACACACACACACAUACACACACACAGAGCUUUCUCAGUUCUUCAUCCAGGCAAGCAAAAGGCAUUAUCAGAGUUCAAGGACACAUUCCAGCCAGGCAAAAAUAUCCAGAACACAACUCAAGGCCCAUGAGGGGUGCAGCCUGAGGUGGGGGCCUGGCCUGGUGUCCUGUUCUCACUGGGCACCUGAGAAACCAGGGGACAGAAGUAGCAACAACAAUGUGGGCAGCAAAUAGAGCAUUAUCCAGCGCCCGUGUCCAGGCAGCAGGGUGUACAACGAAGGGUCAGGCAAAAGGCAAAAUUGCAGCAGCCCAAAGUCCAGAGUCCAUGCCAGAAUAAUUUGCAACAAGGGCCUGGAGAGAGGCAAGGUCAAAGCAAUCCAUGGUCAGGUAUAGCAGGGGAUCCAAAAGCAGGCAGAGCCCAAACCUGAGACAUAGACACUGUUCCAUCAACACUUUCAGCCCAGCACUGGGUUAUUUGAGCUGGAGCUACUGGAACCAUAUCCCGGGCUCAGCUGACUCCAGUAAACUCCCUUUUCUCCAAUGGUCUUCCUGAGACUCCGAGGAAGUCCUUGCCUGUAGUCACUUCUCCAGAUGGGCCAGGUUCCAAUCUGGCAUUUAAGGCCCUUCUUUUCCCUCGGGCUUGAGACCUAUUCAGCCUUGAUAUCCUAGCCUGAACUCACCCUAACAUCAGAAGCUGAACUCAUCUUCUUUGGCCUUAUCUCAGGACCCUGGCUCCUCACUCUCUGAGGGAGCAUAUUAGCAUACCAAGACUUGGUGUGAGGUUGGGUCCUCUGGUCCUGAGACAUGACAACUGGGAAGAGUUCUGAUGGCCAGAUAGAGAGGGUUGGAGAGAGGCCAUAAGAAUUUAAGAAAAUCUCUGUUCAAACAAAAGAGCUUCGUAAUACAGCAUCCUUUUUCAUACAGUGACCAAGCAGAGGCUUUUGAGAAGUCCAUGACUGGGUCAAAAAGGCUAUGGUUGCCUCUCAGCAAUUGGUGUUGAGCAGCACACUGCUUUAGAGCCUCAAAGUUCAUGAUUAACAGCCACAGAGAGAUCUACUGACACAUCUAAGCAUCGGGUUAGGUACACAGAUUCAGAGCACUGGUCCAUCCAGCUCAGUAUUGCAUACACUGGCUCGCAGUAGCUCUUUGGGGUUACAGACAGGGAUCCCUCCUAGUCCUACCUGAAGACACCAGGGCUUGAACCCGGGAUGUUCUGUGCACAAAGCAACUUCUCUACCACUGAGUUACAGUCUUUCACAAUUUGCAAGUGUGCAGCAGGCAGUUGCCGGGCUGGACAAGAGGUCUUAGUGGACCUCUCAUCAUUAGUGGAUCCACCACCUCCUUGCCACUCUUGCUGCUGCAUAUUCACUUCUCUCUCUCUCUCUCUCUUUCUGUGGGCCCAACCUGCACCGUGUCUCCAAAGGAGAGGACCACGCAUGCAGUGUCACUCAGGGAAGGAAGAUGAAUGGACAAGGAGGAGGUGCGGGCCCAGAAAACUUCAGGAGCUGGCAGUGGACACACACACACACACACCCCUAUAUAUUUAUGCACCUCACUGAUGCCAACUCUCCUGGCCUUUCCCCUAUGAAUAUAUCUAAUCCCAUUUUAAAAACCAUCUAAGUUAGCAGCCAUGGCCUCAUAUCACUCAGUCAGGGAGUUAAGUUGACUCAAAUCCUAAACCAUGCCUUUAUUGUCCUCCAAACCUUGGGAGGAGGGGAAAAAGCAGUUUUUGUCUCCCAAAUGCAAGGUUGCUGCUGUAGGACCUUAUGUUAGCCCCUCUAUGCUGAAAAAAAAGCCGUUGAGAUAGUGUAUGAUGCCAUAGUAGGAACCACAGUGGCUGGCAUGAAUGCAAUAUUUAUAAUCAUGAAGAGAAGAGGUGGCAUUUCUGUAGGAAUUCCCUAGCCUUAUGUUCCAAAAGAAGGAACACGUCACAAUUUACAUCACUGCAGUUUAAGCUGAGCCAUAGGAUGAAGCUGUUAAUCAUUUUAGCCUCCAUCUUAUAUGGAAGAUGUUCUGUAUGGCUGACCCUUCUGACUUGUUCUUUCUGUGGCUGUCUACUUUUACUAAAUCAUUUUUCCCCCCAUAUUUAAGGAGAGCCUUUCCAGAUGACCAAACAAAACAAAACAAACCCCUACUUCUGACUGCAGCCUCCAGAGAUAUUAGCUGGCCUCUAGAAGAGCUGGCUUUUAUCUAGUUCUCUGGUUAUAUACUGGGGGAGGCAGGGGCUCUACAUUCCAGACUCUGGUUUCAAGGUCAUAAUGAAACGGGAGAUACCUGGAUCUUCUUUCAUGCCCCUUCAGAUAGUCUCCUCAGCUUGCUUGUAAAUACAACAUGUUCUGCCCACUUGGCACACAAAUGUCAAGGCUGAGAAUAAAUUUGGAACACAACCCCAUGCAAACACAUGGGUGACAGUCAUGGGGUGACUCAACAUUCACUGAGCACGCACAACUAAGGAAAAUGUGCACGAUGACCACCAACCAAAAAACAUUUAUAGGAACACAAGAGGAGCAGCAUGCGGUGCCCCCGGACUGUCACUGUUUUGCAGGAAGGAUUCAAGCGCAUACCAGAGAUUUAGAUUUGCAUAAUUAACUUGGAUUAAAGUGCUCUGUCACCCUAAUAAAACAAAGCCACUUUUUUGAAAGAAAGAAAAAAGAAACAGGCCAUUUACAGUUAGGAAAUGAAUGCCUUUAAAAGUGUGGGGCGGAUGAAUGAAGAUGUAUAAACACCCUGAAAAUAAAUCAAGGUGAAUGCUCAUUAUCUGACAGUCUCCCUGAAAAUAAAGCAGAACAAAGGUUCAAUAAAGACUGGGCAUAGGUGUUAUGUACUAAGCUUGGAUCCUAGAACAAUAGGCAAGUAGGAUCCUAGAAUGCAACAGCUGAUUGGCUUGCAGGAGAAGACCAAUCAGGCUCCAGGAGGAAGUUAAUCAGCCUAUUAGGUUGGUAGGAUUGUAGAAUGCAACAACUGAUUGGCCUGCAGGAAAGACCAAUCAGGCUCCAGGAGGGAAGCAGAAUCAGCCAAUCAGAUGGGACUCAUUGUGUAAAUAAUGUAUAUAAAAAGCCUGAGGUUGGGGGGGGGCAAUAAAAUCACUGUUUUUCAAGCUGCA